rnacentral:lncRNA from 1 species
AUCUCCGUUUUGAGGUGUUUUAAAAUUUUGGACAUUUUUUAUGCUUUGAAAUUUUUUCCCCUUUUUAUGCCUUACUAUAGCCUUAUCUCCGUUUUGAGGCAAUUUAUAUUUUUUCAACCUUUUUCAUGUUUUUACCUUUUUUUCACCAUUUUUUAUGCCUCACUAUAGCCUUAUCUCUGUUUUGAGGCGUUUUAAAAAUCUUUCGCCUGUUCUUAUGCCUUACUACUCUGAUUUUGGAUGUUUUUCACGCUGUACUAUAUAUUCACCCAGUAUAAGUGUGCUCAUUAUAUUUGUUCUCGAAUUUGUACGACAAUUACAAUGACAAAGUAAAUGAUCUGAACUCAAAUAUGAUCACAACAGCAACAGAUUUUUAUAAAUUAAAAUACGUCAUAAUUGUCAUCAAGUAUCAAUUUCGCAAUUAAAAUUAUAAUUGACCCCAACCCUGACCCACACACAAUGUUAUGGCUGAUUAGCUUCACAUCUGAUUAGAUAAUAAAACAUUCUGUUUAACCA